UACGUAGGGGGCAAGCGUUGUCCGGAAUCAUUGGGCGUAAAGGGCGCGUAGGCGGCCCAGUAAGUCCGCUGUAAAAGUCAAAGGCUCAACCUUUGAAUGCCGGUGGAAACUGCUGGGCUAGAGUCCGGAAGAGGCGAGUGGAAUUCCUGGUGUAGCGGUGGAAUGCGCAGAUAUCAGGAGGAACACCAAUAGCGAAGGCAGCUCGCUGGGACGUUACUGACACUGAGACGCGAAAGCGUGGGGAGCAAACAGGAUUAGAACCUACCGGAGUCAG
rnacentral:rRNA from 1 species